rnacentral:lncRNA from 1 species
AAGGAACUGACGGGCCAUGGACGGACAGACGACCUGGGCUGGGGGAAGGGAAGGGAAGGAGGCCCGGGAACCGGCAGCUGGGGUCGGAGGGGGCGCAGAGACAAGGAGACAGAGAGACGCAGAGGAGACUCUUGGAGAGGAGGACAACGGAUGGGCCGUCAAGGGCUGGAGAGGACGCGCGGGCUGCUCCAGGGGUGGGGACUCCUCUAUCCCUUGGCCCCGGACAAGUCCCAGGGCACGGACGUGACCCAUUACGAACAGGCAGUGAAGCUGUGGCAGGGCUGGAGCUGCCCCAGGCUCUGGCAUCAUCCCCGAGGGCUGGAGCUCACUCCCCGCUAGAGGCUUUUCCGGACCCCACGUCCACAGGCAGGUGCAUCUGGUGAAGCUUUCGGCCACAGUUGGAGUGCAGUGGUGCCAUCUCCCUUCACGACGAACUCCACCCCCCAUCCCCAGGAUCAAGCGAUCCUCCCACCUCAGCCUCCCAGAGCUGGGACCACAGAUGCGUGCCACCACGCCCAGGUAUGUUUUGGUAUUUUUGGUAGAGACGGGGUUUCACCAUGUUGCCCAGGCUGGUCUUGAACUCCUGACCUCAAGCAAUACAUCAGCCUCUGCCUCCCAAAGUGUUGGGAUUACAGGCGUGAGCCGCUGUGCCCAGCUGAGUGUUCUGACCCUUGGGCGGCCCUCACUCAUUUUCCGGGAGCCUCGCCUUGCAGGGGUCCUCCCUGGGGCUGUUGGGAGGAAGGUUCAGACCCUGGAGCUGGGCUUCUGUGGGUCUAGACCCAGCCUGUGCUAAUCACAUGAGGCCCAGGCUAGAAAGCCAUGUCAACACACCUCUCAAACACAGCCAGGGAGUCAGGGAGCCACCUAGGUCACACAGCCAGUGAAUGUUGAGAGGGACCGUGGCAUCCUGGCUCCUGCCCAGUUGCUGCCUCCUUCUCAGGAAAAACAAAAUAUCCUCACAGAUCUUUUACCUUGUAACUUGAAGGGCUGCCUGUUGCAUAAGCUCCAAGCAUUGAGUCACGGUCAAGGGCCUGGCUAGCCUGCAGGGAGGGCUGGCUGUGGUGCGGCCCUGCUCCUGGGGCUUGUUGCAGCCAACAGGGAGGGCUGGGGGGCACCCCACAGAAGGCAGGGACAGAGCAGCAAGCAUCAGGGGCUGCGCAGGAGUCUCGGUCGUUGCUCUGCCUGCAGCUGCUGGGAGACAGGCACAGCCUGGCACAGCGAAGGUGGCCAUCGGUGAGUGAGCAAGUGAUCGCCUGGCUGGGCACCAGGGGAGGCGGAAAGAACAUGAGAACAAGCCUCCCCACUGCUGCCCGCCUGGAAGCUGUCGAUCUCCCACAGGGCCCGCUGAGCCCAGCUGCUCUGAACCCAGUGGCAAGCGUGGGCCCCGCAGAGCCAGC